UGCUACAGCGGAAGUCUAAAAUAGGAAUUUAACCCUAGCCUCAGCUCCGUCCCGUCAGCAUCGGCCAGCCAACCUGAAAACAUUUGAAAGUAUUUUUGGGCUAAGUACUAAUGUACUUAGUGGGCAUGCAUUUUCUGAAACAUUUUAUAUUUUCGUAAAGAGCAGUUUAUCCAAUUAUACUUGACAUGACUUAGAAGGUUUUAAAAUGAAAUAACUUCUAAGCAUGUUAAAACAUUUCUUUCAUUUGUGCGCACAUGUCACACUCCCUUUCUGUUACUCGCUGUGAUCCCGGACCUUUUAGCCACCGACGGAUCCAUUUCUCCCAUUGCACUUGCCCUGAGGACGUAACUCAGACAAGUUGAAUUGACCUCGGGACGCUACCCAGGCAGGCCUUACAUGAUACAUGCUCCGGAACACAUCCAGCCAAGCACCCUUAUAACGCCUCUUACAUGAAUUAGUGCCCGAUGGAG
rnacentral:lncRNA from 1 species